CUGAAAACAGGGGAAUUGAAUUCUGAUUUAUUUUUGGUGUUAAGUAGUUGUUUGGCAGCUGAAAAUUUAUAGAUGAUAUAGAAGGUUUUCUAGUCCUAACCCAGGGUAUCAAAGAGGGAGAUAAAAGCUUGGAAACCUUUGAGAAUUGAGAGGUUUUAUUUAUCCUAAAAUAAGACAAGCAAGGUAAAAAAAUCAGAAAGUUAAGAUGAGGGUGUUGGAUUUCUUUUUGAAACAUGCAUAAUCAUGUUGCAUCAUAUAGGUUAUAAUUUUGAUUGACUCUUUUAAUUAUUUAGGAGGAGAAGAGAGUCUCGGAAGUGUGCCGGGAGUAUCAAGCACUAGGGUGGUGCGUUAGCCAUCACAAGAUCGGCAGAGUCAUAACAUUAUAAAAGUACCGCAUCAGCAUCAUCCUAGAAGUUUGUCAUAGAAGGUUGGCCAUGCCCCUCUGAGUGAAAGGAAAAACCUUUGUAUUAUGCAUAUAGUUGGGGUGUGAAUGUAAACAAACUUGAGACAGAUGUAAAGUUUGUUAUAUUUUGAGCUAUGUAUAGUAGACUUUAAGUUAUCAAUGAAAGCUUGGGUUGCUUU